CGCACAUUGCGCCCGCCAGUAUUCUGGCGGGCAUGCCUGUCCGAGCGUCAUUUCAACCCUCAAGCCCCCGGGCUUGGUGUUGGAGAUCGGCGAGCCCUCCGGGGCGCGCCGUCUCCCAAAUAUAGUGGCGGUCCCGCUGUAGCUUCCUCUGCGUAGUAGCACACCUCGCACUGGGAAACAGCGUGACCACGCCGUAAAACCCCCCACUUCUGAAAGGUUGACCUCGGAUCAGGUAGGAAUACCCGCUGAACUUAA
rnacentral:misc_RNA from 1 species